AGCAAAUGUACACGACACUCAAAAUGUUGACGCCAUGAUCGACUUAAUUAGUUCGCUACACUUCUUGUAAGAACUUCUUUUGAUGUGUAACACGGAUGCUGAUACUUGCAUAAAAGUUUACCGCGUACUUAUCAGUAGCAGAGCUAGCAUACAAUGAGGGGUUCAUCCGAACAUAUAUAUAUAUAUAUAAUAGAUGUCAAACCCCCUUCGGCUAGUUCGUGCGUACACUUUUGAACUCCCUCAAUGAAAAUCCUAGCUCCGGCGCUACUACUUACAACAACAAUAACAUACCUAAAAGUGAAAUCUCGUAAAAAUGUCA
rnacentral:lncRNA from 1 species